UACGUAGGGCGCAAGCGUUAUCCGGAAUUAUUGGGCGUAAAGAGCUCGUAGGCGGUUUGUCGCGUCUGCCGUGAAAGUCCGGGGCUCAACUCCGGAUCUGCGGUGGGUACGGGCAGACUAGAGUGAUGUAGGGGAGACUGGAAUUCCUGGUGUAGCGGUGGAAUGCGCAGAUAUCAGGAGGAACACCGGUGGCGAAGGCGGGUCUCUGGGCAGUAACUGACACUGAGGGACGAAAGCUAGGGGAGCGAAUGGG
rnacentral:rRNA from 1 species